rnacentral:rRNA from 1 species
UGGGGAAUUUUGCACAAUGGGCGCAAGCCUGAUGCAGCCAUGCCGCGUGUAUGAAGAAGGCCUUCGGGUUGUAAAGUACUUUCAGUCGGGAGGAAGGUGGUAAGGUUAAUAACCUUAUCAAUUGACGUUACCGACAGAAGAAGCACCGGCUAACUCCGUGCCAGCAGCCGCGGUAAUACGGAGGGUGCAAGCGUUAAUCGGAAUUACUGGGCGUAAAGCGCACGCAGGCGGUUGAUUGAGUCAGAUGUGAAAUCCCCGGGCUUAACCCGGGAAUUGCAUCUGAUACUGGUCAGCUAGAGUCGUGUAGAGGGGGGUAGAAUUCCAUGUGUAGCGGUGAAAUGCGUAGAGAUGUGGGGGAAUACCGGUGGCGAAGGCGGCCCCCUGGGCAAAGACUGACGCUCAGGUGCGAAAGCGUGGGGAGCAAACAGG